rnacentral:hammerhead_ribozyme from 1 species
AUCCUGCUGACGAGUCCCAAAUAGAACGAAACGCACGUCGUGGAU